GUGCUUCAGCAGCACAUAUACUAAAAUUGGAAUGAUACAAAGAAGAUUAGCAUGGCCCCUGUGCAAGGGUGACACGCAAAUUUGUGAAGCAUUCCAUAUUUUU
rnacentral:snRNA from 1 species